GGACUAUUUCGCUCGAAGGUUACCAGCAUUUCCUUGAGAAUCCCUAUGACGAAGCGUUCAACCUGAUUCAAAUUAACUAGGUGAUUUUUAAUACAUGGAUUCAAGAAAAUACACAGGCGCCCCAAGCCAUGUGUUUUUUUAUUGUUCCCUUUUAAUGAUUCAGUGCUAUCUCAGCGUGAUCUGUACGAUGCAUUGAGCGCCAUAGACCUGAUGAAGCCACAGCGCUCCCCGCUUAAAGACAAACUAUGGCCGUACGAUUCCUCACUCUCGCUCGAUCAGAUGAAGGAAGACCUGGAGACUCUGAACUGGCAGGAGUGCCCAGUUCAAUCUAUCGAGACCAUAAGUCAGCUAGAAUCUAGCGGUGGCAGUGAUGUUAUGUCGAGGAGUCUUCCAAUGUCAUCGUUCGAGAUCAGCCGCAAGCGACGGAGAUCAAAGAGGAUGAGGAACAUUGCGGACAAUGGAACCGCUGCUCGUUGUAACAUUCCCCCUGUCCUGACGUGGUUGGCACCUAUGGUGUUGGUGCAGGAGCAACUAAGCAUGAUUCCUCCCUGUUUGUGGAUAAGUACAGCUGGGAUUUCUGAGGAGUGAUCAGGUUUUUUUAGGGUUUUGGGUAUUUCCCUUCCUUCAGGAACUGCAACUUUUGUUGUCAAAAGCCCAGAUUGUGCCACGUAUCUUGCAUUAUUACAGCGCCGUGCCUCUCCCGCGCCCACUGGUGACUGGAUUUCUGGUCUUCUGCCUGCAUUUUUAUACUAAUUUUCUUCUGUACUUGCGAGGCUAUCAAGGACUGGGUGGCUGUUGGCCCAAAUCAACUCACCUGUUUCACUAUGCGGGAUUGUCUUGAGGUCUUUGAAUUUCCAAACAACUUUCGUUUUAUUACUUGUUAAUGAAAUGAUUGCUGCAUUGAUGUGUUUUGGCUUUAAUUAAAAAAAAAAAUCAAUUGUCAAAUUUGAUCAAAAACUGGAUGGAAUUGAAUCAAUGGAAAAAUUUUAAAAUAUA
rnacentral:misc_RNA from 1 species